rnacentral:rRNA from 1 species
UACGGAGGGAGCGAACGUUGUUCGGAUUUACUGGGCGUAAAGCGUGUGUAGGCGGCUUGGCAAGUUGGAUGUGAAAGCCCACGGCUCAACCGUGGAAGCGCACCCAAAACUGCUUCGCUCGAGUCUCGGAGAGGAAGGUGGAAUGCUUGGUGUAGAGGUGAAAUUCGUAGAUAUCAAGCAGAACACCUGCGGCGAAGGCGGCCUUCUGGACGAUGACUGACGCUGAGACACGAAAGCGUGGGGAGCAAACAGG